rnacentral:lncRNA from 1 species
AACAGCCGCCUGGAUGUGUUCCUGCGGCGGCAUCUGCCGCCCGAGGUCUACGACGCGGUCCGCGCCUACGAGCCAUGCAUCGUGGUGUCCAACUCUGAGAACCACAUCCUCAAGUAUGUGGUGCUAAGCGACCGGCUCGUCUACCUAACCGAGAACCCGCCCAAGUCCAUCCGGCGGGUAGUGGCUCUGCGGGACGUCGUGGCCAUUGACCUGAUUGAUGAUUACCCGGAAUUUUUGAGUUCGCCAGAUAGAGAAAUCAGCCAACACAUUCGUAUCAUCUAUUCUUCAACCGUUUUGAAAAAAGAGUGUAAAAAGUCAAACAGUGUCAGGAAAUUCCUAUUUCCAUUUCAUCAUACUAAAGCUAACAACAAGAAAGUCAAGGAAGAAAAGAACGGCCUUGCCUUUUGGAGAAGCAAAGAGUCCAGAAGUCUGAAAGAAUCUCCUCUCAGAAAGCUACUCUUUUACAAGAUCCCUUCUAUGCUAGUGAGUUCAGUCCUGCUAUUGGAAGUCAAAAGCCAUAUAGGUCUGAGGAGAAAAUUAAGCACUUCAGUCA